UACAGAGACUGCAAGCGUUAUUCGGAUUCACUGGGCGUAAAGGGUGCGCAGGCGGCCAUGUGUGUUAGGCGUGAAAGCCCGGGGCUUAACCCCGGAAUUGCACCUAAAACUACGUGGCUAGAGCAUUGGAGAGGGUAGCGGAAUUCACGGUGUAGCAGUGAAAUGCGUAGAUAUCGUGAGGAACACCAGAGGCGAAGGCGGCUACCUGGACAAUUGCUGACGCUCAGGCACGAAAGCGUGGGGAGCAAAAAGG
rnacentral:rRNA from 1 species